UACGGGGGGAGCAAGCGUUGUUCGGAAUUACUGGGCGUAAAGCGCGUGUAGGCGGUUGCCAUAGUCAGGUGUGAAAGCCUUGAGCUCAACUCAAGAAAUGCACUUGAUACUGGGCGACUAGAGGACCGGAGAGGAUAGUGGAAUUCCCAGUGUAGUGGUGAAAUACGUAGAGAUUGGGAAGAACACCAGUGGCGAAGGCGGCUAUCUGGACGGUUUCUGACGCUAAGACGCGAAAGCGUGGGGAGCAAACAGG
rnacentral:rRNA from 1 species